AGCAGCAGUAAAGUGAGGUGCCCAAAGUCAUGUGGUGAUCCUGUAGCAGAGAUGGGGACAGAAUCAGCAAGUUCUGAAUACUGGUGACUUGCAAGAGGCAUUUGAAGGAUUACAUCUCCCACUACAAAAACAAGCAUUGUAAUGGAAAACGAAGAUGUGCGCUGGAACUUCAGGGUUUCAUAUGUAGAGCAUUACAGGCAUUAAAUGAAAAGGAAAAAUGACAAGCUGACGAAAGGGCUGAUGUGUUAUUGCAUGAAGCACUUUGGAGCCAGCUUCUGAAGCAGCUUUAUGCACAAACCUCUCCAUGAUUUAGAGUGGACGUGGCUACAGCAUCUGAUUCUUGCUGGGGAAAACAGACUACCCAUUCAGGCUGGCUCUGGGGGUUUGCUGCUUGCUGGGUAAAGUAGCUGCAGAAGGGACCCAGGAAUACGCUCAAUAAAACCUUGCCUUUG